GAGAGUGGCGAACGGGUGAGUAAUAUAUCGGAACGUGCCCAAUCGUGGGGGAUAACGUAGAGAAAUUUACGCUAAUACCGCAUACGAUCUAAGGAUGAAAGCGGGGGACUUGUUAAAGAGCCUCGCGCGAUUGGAGCGGCUGAUAUCAGAUUAGGUUGUUGGUGAGGUAAAAGCUCACCAAGGCGACGACGGGUAGCCGGCCUGAGAGGGUGACCGGCCACACUGGGACUGAGACACGGCCCAGACUCCUACGGGAGGCAGCAGUGGGGAAUAUUGCACAAUGGGCGCAAGCCUGAUGCAGCAACGCCGCGUGAGGGACGACGGCCUUCGGGUUGUAAACCUCUUUUAGUAGGGAAGAAGCGAAAGUGACGGUACCUGCAGAAAAAGCACCGGCUAACUACGUGCCAGCAGCCGCGGUAAUACGUAGGGUGCAAGCGUUAUCCGGAAUUAUUGGGCGUAAAGAGCUCGUAGGCGG
rnacentral:rRNA from 1 species